rnacentral:lncRNA from 1 species
CGGACAUGGUUAAGAGUCAGUGAAGAUAUUUAAGAAGAGAGUCAAAAAAUGAAUAUAUAGAAAGAUUAUGUAGUAAACAUGUACAGUGUAGAUUUGAUGAGGGGAGAUAGAAAAAUCAUUUAAGAGUCUACUGUAAUUUCAGGUUCUGUGAUGAAGGCUUGGACUGGAGUCAUGGCAAAAAGAUUGGUGAUAUUUCUAAAUUAGAGAAACAAAUCUAACUUGGUGACUCAUUGUAUAUAUGAGACAUUUAUGAAAAAAGAAAGAAAAAUAUGAAAUGACUCUAAAGUUUUUUUGAAAACUAAAAAUUACGUUUCAUUAAAAUUAAUAAGAGGUUGGAUAUUGAAAUUGUUUGGAAUAUAAAUGGAACAAUGAUUAGUUUAGGGCAUGUUUAAUUUAUUGGGAAGUGAUAAAUCAUUUGUCCCUUAAUAAACUAUUCAUAUUGUGGAUUAUGUACACCUUUGGCUCCCUCAUAUAUUCUCAAAUUCACAUUCAGUGUUUGUGCAUUGUUUGCCUUUGAGUAUUUACAGUCGUCUUCAACCUUAUACAAUAUGUCCCCAGAGUACUCUGCAUCAAAAUGAGCUAUGUCAACUCUGUCUGACAGUUCUUUCUUACUACUACUCUCUGCCCUACUGUGGAUAUUCAAUGGAUAUUUUAUGUGGUAGUCAGUAACAUAAUAAUCAUUUCUUCAGAAUUUGGGGGAUGCUGUUUAGUCAUUAAUUGCAAUAAUUCCUCAAUAUAAACUCUACUAGAUUUUUACCUGUAUUUUUCUCAGAUCAAAAGAGAUAGAACUAGGAUUGUCUAAAACUAACUUCCAUGUGAUCCUUGGGGCUCUUUACUUAUAAUUUCCUCUGUGACUAAUUAAUGUGAUGUGGGGACUCAGUCACAAGGAUCACAUUGUCUAUUAUCUACAUACCUUAGCAUAUUUCUCUUUUUUAUUGUUACUCUUACCACUCUUUUUUAUUGUUACUCUUACUCAAUAACUCAGAAGGAACAGAGCCCAAAGAAAAAGUGAAGGAGUAGUAGCAUAAAUAACUACCUGGUACUUACAUUUUGUUUGAUGGUGAAUUUUGCUGCCCUGCAUUGUCAGCAGAAUCCUUCAUCUCAUUCUAAUUUUAUGCUGAUAUUUAUGGACAUGAAAAACACUUGGCCAACAGAAAAUAAUUCGCCAUUUUAAACAAAGCAAAAAAGUAAUUCUUAAGAGCACUAAUAAAGUAUGAAUGCCUUAGGAAUAUAUCUUAUUGUUAUCAGCUUAUUAAGAAGCUGGUAAUUAUUUGAGUGCCUACUCUGUGUGAGACAUUUUAAGUUUUUUUGUUUGUUUGUGUUUUUGUCUUUUCUAGGGCUGCACCCACUGCAUAUGGAGGUUCCCAUGCUAGGGGUUGAAUCAGAGCUGUAGCCACCGGCCUACGUCAGAGCCACAGCAACGUGGGAUCUGAAUUGUGUCUGCGACCUACACCAUAGCUCAUGGCAACGCCAGAUCCUUAACCCACUGAGCAAGGCGAGGGAUCGAACCCGCAACCUCAUGGUUCCUAGUCAGAUUUGUUAACCACUGAGCCUCAACAGGAAAUCCCAUUAUCAGAUUUAAAACAAAAAUAUAUUUUAUUAAUUCAUUCAAACAUUUUUGAGCACAUAUUUGAUAAUUUCUGCCCUUGUGCUUAUGUACAUUAUGAUCUGGAUGAGAAAGAACUUAAGUAAUGAAAAAUAAUAUGUAAUCAAGCUCUAAAUGGUUAGAGUUAAAUAGAAUUGCAGUUGUCAAAAUAUGGUCUAAAAAUUAUGAUAAGGAAAAUUUCAAUGCACAGGUUAUCAAAAGAUUUUUCAAAAAUUCUAAGAAUCUAAAAUUUAAUAUUGGAUACAGCAAUUAAACUAUCCUAAAUCAAAAUUUAAACAGAAUUUUUAGUUGUAGCUUAAAUAAUUACAGCAAAAUCCUUAGGUAAAUAAAUUUUAAAUUAUUUUUUACUUUUAUUUAUUCUAGAAAAUUUAGUCUUAUUUUUAUUUGUUCUAUUUUUAUUUAGCAUCCUGGACAUAGUAUAUGUGAAAAUAAUCUUUUGGAAAUCAUAUGCUAUUUUCAAAGGGAAAACUAUAGAACAUAAAUGAUAUUAAGCUAAACAAAAUUUUCUUAUAUUAGACACAAAAUCAGAUUUUAAUCUUCUGAAGUUAAAAAGUGAGGGCUUUAAUUAGAAAGUAACUGUUUCAUAUAGAUAUACUAGUUGAAAAGAAGAGUAUAUAAAUUUCAUGUGAUAUUUAGGACUAAGAACUGGAAUUUAGCAUGGAGAGUUCACCAAUUAUUAGAAUUAACCAAUUAUGCAUCAAUCAAGUAUUUCAGAUUCUGAAUAAGAUAUAAGUAGCUUAACACAGCUGGAAAGGGGAACAAAGUCUACCAUAGCAAAAAAAAAAAAUUUUCUCCUUAGUGGCAAGCAACACUACCUUUCCAAGAUGCAAAACAGUUACAAAUGGUAGCAAAAACAAAGACAUUUCAACUCUCAGGCAUUCUCAUUUUGGAAUGAAGCCAAGAAAUUAUUAAUCUUUAUCAGGACCUAUUUCCUUUUCCUGUUUACACAAUACAAUGGAGGGAUACAACCGUAGUAUGGACUUCAUUAUGCUAAAUUUGGAAGAAGGAAGCUAGUCACAUAUCUGUUUGUGGAGAAAUUAGCCAAAACAGAAAGCUGAAGUGGAAAUUCCAUAGGCAAUGACUCAGUGAAUGGUGCAGCAGUUCAUUCUAGGCUAGUUCCAAUUUUAGAAUAUAUCCUGCUAGACAGAUUUUUUUCCCUUCCAAUUCAUGUUGGCAUUAGUUAAUUGAUGCCAAACUUAGCACUUGAUGUUUCUGAGGAAAUGCAGUAUUUUUUUCCUCCUUGAAGUCGCCUUACGUUCCUAUCCUUCUUAGAGCUAAUUAUUAUUAUCUUUAAUUAUCAGUAAUAUCUGUAUGAAAUGUAUCAGAUGCCAUGACAUACUAAUAGACAAAAAAGAAGUCAUAUAUUUAUUAUUUUUACCUCACUUUCCAAAAUGUUAAGUAAGACUUGUUUUUCUAUUUUUUUUUCUUUGAAGAUUCACUCUCCUAUGGGUAUGUCAUGUUUAUGUACUUAGAAAGCAAUAGCUCUUGGGACUGUUGUUAAAAUAAGUGAUUGCAUUUGUAACUUUAGAAGCUUGGCUACCUUGCAAAUGAAGAAACCUAGGCUAGAUAUACUACUUUCCUAGAUAACAGAGAGGGCUGGUGUAUAGAAAGGAAGAAAGGAUAAAUUCAUUGAGAAAAAAAGGUUCAUACCUGUUACCAAAUCAGACUUUGUAUUUAUCAAUCUUGCUGAUUAAUCUUGUAUUUUUUUUUCUUUUUGGGCUGCCCCGCAGCGUAUGGAGUUCCUGGGCCAAGGAUCAGAUCUGAGCCACUGUUGCGACUUACGCCACGGCCACGCCAGAUCCUUAACCCACUGUUUGGGGCCAGAAUAGAACCUGCAUCCCAGUGCACCAGAGAUGCUGCCAAUCCCAUUGCACCACAGUGGAACUCCAGUCUUGUAUAUUUUGCAGCAUAUUAUAGUUUGUUUUUAGAAGACUCUACAUACAACAUUGAAUCUUCUUUAGAUGAGACCUUUAAAAUUUGGUUAUUGUAAUAUAUUUUUUAUUGAAUUAUAAUUGAUAUGCAAUAUUAUGUCGGUUUCAGGUGUAUAACAUAGUGGUUUGAUACUUUUUAUACAUUAUAAAAUGACCACCAAAAUAAGUCUAGUUACCCUCUGUUCACCAUACAGAGUUAUUACGAUAUUAUUGACUAUAGUCCCUAUGCUGUACAUUAUUACAUCCUUGUGACUUAUUUACCUUAUAGCUGGAAGUUUGUACCUCUUAAUCCCCUUUACCAAUUUGCCUGCCCUCUACCCACCACCCCUCUGGCAACCACCAGUUUGUUUUCUGGAUCUAUAGUAGGCAUUGGAUAGUCCUUUUCAUUACUAAAUCUAUGUACCAAAUCUACUGAAUAUUGUAAAGACUCACUGCACAGGAUAUUGUUUGCAAAGUGAUUCUGGUUGUCUUUCACCUUAGAUUUUUUGGGGGCCCAAAAAAUCUUCAAAGAUUAAAUGUCACUUGGAUGUACAAAAAUGAUUGAGGAUUCUUCCCCAAAAGAGAAAGGAAAAUAAGAUUUAAACAGCAAAACCUAAGUUAAAUUUGCUCUAUUGACAAGUGUUUUGGCUUUUCCUAAGUGUCUGGUUUACUGUAUCUGUAUAAAAGCACAAUGGCGAUUUUGAAACAUGCCCAAUAUUUUCCAAUUAGAGUUAGCAAUAUAAAAAUGUAUAAAAAUAGGAGUUCCCGUCAUGGCUCAGUGCUUAACAAAUCCGACUGGGAACCAUGAGGUUGCAGGUUCGAUCCCUGGCCUCGCUCAAUGGGUUAAGGAUCUGGUGUUGCCGUGAGCUGUGGUGUAGGCCGCAGACACCGCUUGGAUCUGGCAUUUCUGUGGCUGUGGCGUAGGCUGGUAGCUACAGCUCCGAUUAGGCCCCUAGCCUGGGAACCUCCACAUGCCGCAGGUGUGGCCCUAGAAAAGACAGAAAGCCAAAAAAAAAAAAGAGUAUAAAAAUAGAUGUUAUUGAAGCAUUGAUCAUAUGUCUAUCUAAUACCAUCUGUCUUUUAUAAAUUCCAUGAAGAUAGUAAGAAGUGAAGAGAAAACUUUUCCAAGUUUAGGCCUGCCUAUGAAAUGCCAAAAUGUGGUCAAAUUAGAUGCUAUUGAUUAUUAUACAUGAUGGAUAAACUUAGCAUUUGGUGCUUCCAACUAUUUUUACUCCACAUAGUUUGAAAAGUAUUUUAAAACAAAAUGUGAGUAUUUGAUUCAUGCCAUUAUAGUUGAUAAUUCAUUUUUUAUUUAUUUUCCAUUGCAAGAUGGAUCCAUUGUUGAAUUCAAUAAACAUUCUGAUAACCUAUAUGUUAUUAGUUUUGCAACUAUAUUGUGUAUUUUAGUCAUUCCUUGCUUUAGAUUUUAAGCUACCAUACAGCUUAAAUAACUUGCUCUAUGGAGCAUUUUAUUUGUAAAUUUCAUUAUUUUUUAUGUUGUAAUUGAAACAUAACAUAUAUUAAAAACAGAUCAUAAGAAUAUAUAACUAUAUGAAUUUUUAAAAAAUGAAUACAUAUAUGUAACCACUACCCAGAUCAAAAACCAGAAUAUGAUUAGAAUCUAAAAGUUCCCUCAUCUUUUCUUCCAGCCACUGCUAUCCUGAACCAAAAAAUGCUAUCUUGACUUCUAAAACAAUUAAUGUUUUAGUAUGUUUGUGGUUAUUUUUUUAUUAACUGAGAUAAAAUUCAUAUAACAUAAUCCAUUAUUCUAAGCAUUUUAAAGUGUACAAUUCAGUGGGUUUUAGUACAUUCACAAUAUUGUGCAGCCAUCACAUUUUCCAGAACAUUUCAUCAUGCAAAAAGAAACUGCAUACCCAUUAAGCAGUAAUGCCCCAUUCCUUCCAUCCCCUAGAAACUACUAAUUUAUUUUCUGCAUCUAUCAAUUUGAUUAUUCCACAUAUUUAAUAUGAAUGGAAUUAUACAAUAUGUGACCUAUUGUGUCUGGAUUACUUUGUUUAAUAUUAUUUUCAAUGUUCAUCUAUGUAUGCUCACUUUGUAACAUUCAGCCAUAAUAUUGCAUAUACAAAUAGUUCUUUUUUUCUUGUUGCACAGAGUUCUAUUGUAUUCCUAUAUCAUAAUUAUAUUUACAGUCUGUUUAUGGUCAUUAAUGUUGUUUUUAGGUUUGGUCAAGUAUUAAUUAUGCUGCAUUUAACAUUCAAAUAUAGCUUUUUUGAUGAGGAUAUGCAUUCAUUUCUAUUAUAUAUCUAGGAGUAAAGCUUAGUAUGUUUAAUUUUGGUAACUACUGUCAAACAGUUUUCAAAGUUUCUUGUACUAAUUUACACUCCUACUGGCAGUCAUGAAAGUUCUAGUUACCACUCAACCUCACCAAAACAAUGUUUAACUUUUUCAUUUAGCCAUUCUAGGAGGUGUUUACUGUAAUAUCAUCAUAGUUUUAAUUUACAUUUCUCAACUACAAUUAGGAAUUGUAUAGAAGGAAACUUAAGCUUAUUUUAAAAAUUUAGAUGUAAAAUUUUAUUUGAAAGCUGCUUUAUAGUGAAUUUUCUAGGACUUUCUGUGUUUGAGGAAAAUAUAAUGCCAAAGAAAUGCAUAUUUUAUACCUUUCGUAAUUAAUGAGUAUCACAUUGCUAAUUGACAUAGUGACAUUUUAACUGUAUUUCUAUAUGUUGCUGCUAUUAAUUCCUAUUGAUAAAGUGUUUAAAUACAAAUCAUUGCAGAAAUAUGGAGAUACUAUUGCAUUUGGCUUGUGGUUUAAAAUUUACUUCUAAGAUUAGGAGAAAAACAGCAAUUUUACAUGGAAUGGUUGAAAUAUGCACAUAGUUUCACACAUAUUUCUAUGUGAUGAAAAUGUUUUCAUGUUAUUAUACAACACAUAGUUUGCCUGAAAAUAUUGUCUCUUCAUGGCAUCUAUAGAUGAAAACCCCUAAAAUUACAGAAAGUUGGAAACCAAACAUAGAGUCAGAAAUACAAAAUGUGAAACAUUUACAUAUAUUGACCGAAAACAUACAUAUACACACACAGUUUAGAAUUGCCUUACUGAGGAGUAUACCCAGGAUAGCGCCUCUCAGAUAGUUCUGAGCAACUGUUCCAGAGUGGUGAGGGAGGAAUCAGGAUAUACAAUUUUGCUUUAAAACAUGUAGUUGAGUUGAGGAUCAAAAGAUCACUGCUAAUCACAGAAAACAGAAAUCUCAAGUUAAUGAUUUUAGUGUCCUUCUACAUAUGGCAAGAUGCAAGAGUCUGGACUCAUUGAAAUUAUUCCUUUCAUAUGCAUUUUUGCUAUCUAGGGCCACAAUCCUUUUUUUUAAUUUUUUUUUUUUGUCUUUUUUAGGGCCGCACCCAUGGCAUAUGGAGUUUCCCAGGCUAGGGGUCGAAUUGGAGCUGUAGCCACUGGCCUAUACCACAGCCACAGCAAUGUCAGAUCUGAGCCACAUAUAUGACCUACACUACAGCUCAUGGCAACAAUGGAUCCUUAACCCACUGAGUGAGACCAGCGAUUGAACCUGUGACUUCAUGGAUGCUAGUCAGAUUCAUUUCUGCUGAGCCACGAUGGGAACUCCCAUAAUCCUAUGUUUCUCCAUCCUGAAUUCCUCUCAGGUCAUACAGGGAUGGUUGCAGUGACUGAAUGCUUGAUGACAGGUAUCAUUCCUUGUUUACCAUAAUGGCAGGCAACAUCCUUUGUUCACUGCAAGAGCAGGCAACAUUUUGUUUUGUCAGUAGCACCUCCUCUUGGCUAUAAAUUUAACCAAGAUUUGAAGCACUUCCUGUCCAAUUUGUCCCACAACACUAGGAAGUCUCAUUCCUUCUGCUUAUAGUCCUGUCAAUUUGCUAAGUCUUAGAUUAAACCCUAUUAAUAAGCUAAAAUUAUCUGGAUUGCCUCUUUUACUAGUCCAUUAUGAUCCAGGAAAUAUUUUCCCUUGGUGCUUCUUCCCAUAUCUAAAGUUGUGCUAUUAUAAUUAUUCUAUAUAUUCUCUCUCUAUAUAUACAUAGAAUAAUUAUACACACACACACAAUCAACUGCUUCAAGGUGUUUAUCCAUCAUUAAUUUAGUGGAGGACUGGUUACACACUGGGUAAUGCAAGAGACAACAAAAUAGACAGGAUAUAAGUAAUACAGCUAGUAACAUUGAUAAAGUCAUAGCAGAGCAGAGAGGCACAAGGCAUAAAUAAUAUGAAAAUGAAAGAGGACAAAUUAGGGUAAUUAUUAGUAUAACUGGUUGUAAUCUGGUCACAGAAUGGGAUGAUUGGCUGAUAGGGUCCUGCUUUAUAGCACAGGGAACUCUACCCAAUAUUCUGUGAUAAUAUAUAUAGGAAAGAAUCUGAAGAAUGGAUUUGUGUAUAUGUAUAACUGAAUCACUUUGUUGUACAGCAAAAAUUAUCACAGUUUUGUAAAUAACUAUACUUCAAUAAAACUUUAAAAAAUGAAAAAAAAAUCCAUGGGGGAAGAAGCCAAAUUCUGGAAGGAUCAGGUCAAAUCUUUGUCAAGUUGUUGUAGGUCUUAGUUAACAUAAGAGGAAAGGUUUUAUGGAAAACAAAGAUUAAAAGGUGGUAUAUUUCAGAAAAAAAUCGUAAAAUUAUAAAUCAUAUUUAACAGUUCACUCAGCCCCAUGUAAUUAAUUUCUGUUGAGCUGGAAGGUCAACAGGUUUUCCUUUAGAGUUUUGUAAUUUCUUCAACAGUCCAAUGGUAUUAUCUAAAAUGUCCAUCAACAGGUGAUUGGAUUAGGAAGAUGUGGUAUACAUACACAAUGGAAUACUACUCAGCCAUAAAAAAGAACCAAAUAAUGCCAUUUGCAGCAACAUGGAUGGAACUAGAGACUCAUACUGAGUGCAGUAAGUCAGAACGAGAAAGACAAAUACCAUAUAUCACUUAUAUCUUGAAAAUAAUAUACGGCACAAAGGAACCUUUCCACAGAAAAGAAAAUCAUGGACAUGGAGAACAAACUUGUGGUUGCUGAGGGGGAGGGGAGAGAGUGGGAUGGAUUGGGAGCUUGGGGUUAAUAGAUGCAAACUAUUGCCUUUGUAAUGGAUUAGCAAUGAGAUCCUGCUGUGUAGCACUGGGAACUAUGUCUAGUUACCUAUGACGGAGCAUGAUAAUGUGAGAAAAAGAAUAUAUACAUGUAUGUGUAACUGGGUCACCAUGCUGUAUAGUAUAAAAAAAAACAAUGUAUUGGGGAAAUAAAAAAAUAAAUAAAAAUAAAAAUUAU